rnacentral:lncRNA from 1 species
AGUUUUUGCGAGAUAUUUUCUUCUCAAGAUUUCUUCUUUGACCCUGUUUUCCUGAAGGUUCACACUAAAGCCACCGUGGAUGCUCUCAAAGCUAAAACAGGUAAUCGUGUGAGAUGGAUUGUCUAGCAUUGUCUAGCUUACCUUCGCAGGAUGUGAAGUGGCUGUCGUGGACGUGAACGAUUUGAAGAAAGUCCAAAUACUAGCCGUAUGUAAAUGGAUGCUUGGCUUUGUUUUGGAGACCGACCCAACCUCAUCGUGUGUAGGCAUCCGACGGUGUGGACCACGACACAUUAUCGCAAGCUUUGAUCAACAAUCCUGCUGGUGAGCUGAAAGAUGGUUGCUCUUCGUUCACUGACUAAUUGAAACGUUUGCAGG